rnacentral:rRNA from 1 species
GACGAACGCUGGCGGCGUGCUUAACACAUGCAAGUCGAACGGAGUGGCGAACGGGUGAGUAACACGUGGGUGACCUGCCCUGCACUUCGGGAUAAUCCUGGGAAACUGGGUCUAAUACCGGAUAGUGUGGGAUGGGCCCGCGGCCUAUCAGCUUGUUGGUGGGGUAAUGGCCGACCAGGGCGGCGACGGGUAGCCGGCCUGCGAGGGUGGACGGACACAUUGGGACUGAGACACGGCCCAGACUCCUACUGGAGGGAGCAGGGGGGAAUAUUGCCCAAGUGGCGGAAGGCUGAUGCAGCGACGCGGCGUGGUGGAUGACUGCCUUCGGGUUGUAAACUCCUUUCACCAUAGACGCGGUAGAUGGAGAAGAAGCACCGGCUAACUACGUGCCAGCAGCCGCGGUAAUUC